CAGAGGCGUGAGGGUUGUCGCUGACCUUUCUAAAAGGUCGUGCACGCCCGAGCGCUCUCAAUCCAUUUCACCCUUUGUGCAUCACCGCGCGGGGUCGCUCCCUCUUGGCUCGCUUCGAGAGGGGGAGGCUCGCGUUUUUCACACAUAAACACCCUUAUAGUUUAGAAUGUCAUUCAUUUGCGAUCACACGCAAUCAAUACAACUUUCAACAACGGAUCUCUUGGCUCUCGCAUCGAUGAAGAACGCAGCGAAAUGCGAUACGUAAUGUGAAUUGCAGAAUUCAGUGAAUCAUCGAAUCUUUGAACGCAUCUUGCGCCCCUUGGUAUUCCGAGGGGCACACCCGUUUGAGUGUCGUGAAAUUCUCAAACCUUCUUGGUUUCUNGAUCAAGAUGGCUUUGGACUUUGGAGGCAUUUUGCUGGCUUUGCGAAAAGCCAGCUCCUCUCAAAUACAUUAGUGGGGUCCCCUUUGCCGAUCCCCAGGCGUGAUAAGAUGUUUCUACGUCUUGGGAUUUGCUCUGUUCCUUGGGAACCCGCUUCUAACCGUCUCAUGGGAGACACCGUUCGAGUUUGCUCGACGCACGAACCUUGACCUCAAAUCGGGUGAGACUACCCGCUGAACUUUAAGCAUAUCAAUA
rnacentral:rRNA from 1 species